rnacentral:rRNA from 1 species
UACAGAGGUCCCAAGCGUUAUCCGGAUUCACUGGGCUUAAAGGGUGCGUAGGCGGCGCGGUAAGUCGGGUGUGAAAUCUCGGAGCUUAACUCCGAAACUGCAUUCGAUACUGCCGUGCUUGAGGACUGGAGAGGAGACUGGAAUUUACGGUGUAGCGGUGAAAUGCGUAGAUAUCGUAAGGAAGACCAGUGGCGAAGGCGGGUCUCUGGACAGUUCCUGACGCUGAGGCACGAAGGUCAGGGGAGCAAACGGG